rnacentral:rRNA from 1 species
GUCAGAGGUGAAAUUCUUGGAUUUAUGAAAGAUUAACUUCUGCGAAGCAUCUGCCAAGGAUGUUUUCAUUAAUCAAGAACGAAAGUUAGGGGAUCGAAGACGAUCAGAUACCGUCGUAGUCUUAACCAUAAACGAUGCCGACCAGCGAUUAGGAGACGUUGAAUACAAAACACCACCAUCGGCGCGGUCGUCCCUGGCUCGUCGUCUCACGACGGCGGGCGGGGGCGGUUUAGCCCGAUGGCACCGGUGAAUGACUCCCCUAGCAGCUUGUGAGAAAAA